GGUGUGGCCCAGUGGUAGAGCACUUCCCUGGGAUGUAUGUGGUCUGGGUUCAAUCCCCAGUACC
rnacentral:tRNA from 1 species